UUCCGGUUGAUCCUGCCGGACCCGACUGCUAUUUGGGUGAGAAUAAGCCAUGCGAGUUGAAUGGAAUACCUAAAUUUUCCAUAGCAAACUGCUCAGUAACACAUGAUCAACUUACCCUAUAGAGAAAAAUAACCUCGGGAAACUGAGGAUAAUGUUUCAUAGUUGAAAAGGCUUGGAAAAGUUUUUCAAUAAAAAGGAUAAGAAAAAUGGUUCUUAUCCGCUAUAGGAUAGGAUCGUGCUCGAUUAUGGUUGUUGGUGAGGUAAUGGCUCACCAAGCCGAUAAUCGAUAGGGGCCGUGAGAGCGGGAGCCCCGAGAUGGGUACUGAGACAACGACCCAGGCCUUACGAGGCGCAGCAGGCGCGAAACCUCAGCAAUACACGAAAGUGUGACUGGGUUACCCAAAGUGUUCAGUUUUGAACUGUGGUAGGUGAGUAAUGUCCCCUACUAGAAAGGAGAGGUCAAGGCUGGUGCCAGCCGCCGCGGUAAAACCAGCUCUUCAAGUGGUCGGGAUAAUUAUUGGGCUUAAAGUGUCCGUAGCCUGUUUAGUAAGUUCCUGGUAAAAUCGGGUAGCUUAACUAUCUGUAUGCUAGGAAUACUGCUAAACUAGAGGGCGGGAGAGGUCUGAGGUACUACAGGGGUAGGGGUGAAAUCUUAUAAUCCUUGUAGGACCACCAGUGGCGAAGGCGUCAGACUGGAACGUGCCUGACGGUGAGGGACGAAAGCCAGGGGAGCGAACCGGAUUAGAUACCCGGGUAGUCCUGGCCGUAAACGAUGCAUACUAGGUGAUGGCAUGGCCAUGAGCCGUGUCAGUGCCGUAGGGAAACCGUUAAGUAUGCCGCCUGGGAAGUACGGUCGCAAGGCUAAAACUUAAAGGAAUUGGCGGGGGAGCACCACAAGGGGUGAAGCCUGCGGUUCAAUUGGACUCAACGCCGGU
rnacentral:rRNA from 1 species